rnacentral:rRNA from 1 species
AUUGAACGCUGGCGGCAGGCCUAACACAUGCAAGUCGAACGAGUGGCGGACGGGUGAGUAAUGUCUGGGAAACUGCCUGAUGGAGGGGGAUAACUACUGGAAACGGUAGCUAAUACCGCAUACCAUCAGAUGUGCCCAGAUGGGAUUAGCUAGUGGGGGGGGUAACGGCUCACCAAGGCGACGAGCCCUAGCUGGUGUGAGAGGAUGACCCGCCACCCUGGAACUGAGGCACGGUCCAGCCUCCUACGGGAGGCAGCAGUGGGGAAUAUAGGACAAUGGGCGCAAGCCUGAUGCAGCCAUGCCGCGUGUAGGAAGAAGGCCUUCGGGUUGUAAAGUACUCUCAGCGGGGAGGCGUUACCCGCAGAAGAAGCACCGGCUAACUCCGUGCCAGCAGCCGCGGUAAUAC